rnacentral:rRNA from 1 species
AGAGUUGAUCUGUCAGAACGAACGCUGGCGGCGUGGAUAAGACAUGCAAGUCGAACACUGAUUACAGGGUAGCAAUAUUCUGUAGUCGGAGUGGCGCAAGGGUGCGUAACACGUGGGUAAUCUGCCGUGAAGUCUGGGAUAACUUGCUGAAAGGCGAGCUAAUACCGGAUGUGAAAGUUGGAAGGCAUCUUCUGAUAUUCAAAGUUGGGGACCGCAAGGCCUGACGCUUCACGAUGAACCCGCGGCCUAUCAGCUAGUUGGUGAGGUAACGGCUCACCAAGGCUAAGACGGGUAGCUGGUCUGAGAGGACGACCAGCCUCACUGGAACUGAGACACGGUCCAGACACCUACGGGUGGCAGCAGUCGAGAAUUUUUCACAAUGGGGGAAACCCUGAUGGAGCGACGCCGCGUGGGGGAUGAAUGGCUUCGGCCCGUAAACCCCUGUCAUUUGUGACCAAACCUUCCGACCCAACACGUCGGAAGCUGAUGGUAGCGGAAGAGGAAGGGACGGCUAACUCUGUGCCAGCAGCCGCGGUAAUACAGAGGUCCCAAGCGUUGUUCGGAUUCACUGGGCGUAAAGGGUGCGUAGGUGGUCGGGUAAGUCUGAUGUGAAAUCUCCGAGCUUAACUCGGAAAUGGCAUUGGAUACUAUUCAACUCGAGGGUUGGAGGGGGGACUGGAAUUCUCGGUGUAGCAGUGAAAUGCGUAGAUAUCGAGAGGAACACCAGUGGCGAAGGCGAGUCCCUGGACAACUCCUGACACUGAGGCACGAAAGCUAGGGGAGCAAACAGGAUUAGAUACCCUGGUAGUCCUAGCUGUAAACGGUGCAUA